rnacentral:rRNA from 1 species
AGUGAACGCUGGCGAUAGGCCUAACACAUGCAAGUCGAACGGCAGCACAGGAGAGCUUGCUCUCUGGGUGGCGAGUGGCGGACGGGUGAGGAAUACAUCGGAAUCUACUUUUUCGUGGGGGAUAACGUAGGGAAACUUACGCUAAUACCGCAUACGACCUACGGGUGAAAGCAGGGGAUCUUCGGACCUUGCGCGAUUGAAUGAGCCGAUGUCGGAUUAGCUAAUUGGCGGGGUAAAGGCCCACCAAGGCGACGAUCCGUAGCUGGUCUGAGAGGAUGAUCAGCCACACUGGAACUGAGACACGGUCCAGACUCCUACGGGAGGCAGCAGUGGGGAAUAUUGGACAAUGGGCGCAAGCCUGAUCCAGCCAUACCGCGUGGGUGAAGAAGGCCUUCGGGUUGUAAAGCCCUUUUGUUGGGAAAGAAAUCCAGGUGGUUAAUACCCGGUUGGGAUGACGGUACCCAAAGAAUAAGCACCGGCUAACUUCGUGCCAGCCGCCGCCGUAA